AGUCACUGACAUUAGAUACCCGCGUAGUCCAGGGUGUAAACGCUGCAGACUUGGUGUUGGGAACCCUUCGGGGGUGCUCAGUGCCGGAGAGAAGUUGUUAAGUCUGCUACUUGGGGAGUACGUCCGCAAGGAUGAAACUUAAAGGAAUUGGCGGGGGAGCACCGCAACGGGAGGAGCGUGCGGUCUAAUUGGAUUCAACGCCGAAAAACUCACCAGCAGCGACUGUUACAUGAAAGUCAGGUUGAUGACCUUACUAGAUUUUCAG
rnacentral:rRNA from 1 species